UACGUAGGGGGCAAGCGUUGUCCGGAAUCAUUGGGCGUAAAGAGCGUGUAGGCGGCCCGAUAAGUCCGCUGUGAAAGUCCAGGGCUCAACCCUGGGAUGCCGGUGGAUACUGUCGGGCUCGAGUCCGGAAGAGGAGUGUGGAAUUCCUGGUGUAGCGGUGAAAUGCGCAGAUAUCAGGAGGAAUACCGAUGGCGAAGGCAGGUCUCUGGGCUGACACUGACGCUCAUGCACGAAAGCGUGGGGAGCAAACAGG
rnacentral:rRNA from 1 species